AGUGAACGCUGGCGGUAGGCCUAGCACAUGCAAGUCGAACGGCAGCACAGUAAGAGCUUGCUCUUACGGGUGGCGAGUGGCGGACGGGUGAGGAAUACAUCGGAAUCUACUUUUUCGUGGGGGAUAACGUAGGGAAACUUACGCUAAUACCGCAUACGACCUACGGGUGAAAGCAGGGGAUCUUCGGACCUUGCGCGAUUGAAUGAGCCGAUGUCGGAUUAGCUAGUUGGCGGGGUAAAGGCCCACCAAGGCGACGAUCCGUAGCUGGUCUGAGAGGAUGAUCAGCCACACUGGAACUGAGACACGGUCCAGACUCCUACGGGAGGCAGCAGUGGGGAAUAUUGGACAAUGGGCGCAAGCCUGAUCCAGCCAUACCGCGUGGGUGAAGAAGGCCUUCGGGUUGUAAAGCCCUUUUGUUGGGAAAGAAAAGCAGCAGGUUAAUACCCCGCUGUUCUGACGGUACCCAAGGAAUAAGCACCGGCUAACUUCGUG
rnacentral:rRNA from 1 species